GUGCCAGCAGCCGCGGUAAUACGAAGGGUGCAAGCGUUAAUCGGAAUUACUGGGCGUAAAGCGCGCGUAGGUGGUUCAGCAAGUUGGAUGUGAAAUCCCCGGGCUCACCCUGGGAACUGCAUCCAAAACUACGGAGCUAGAGUACGGUAGAGGGUGGUGGAAUUUCCUGUGUAGCGGUGAAAUGCGUAGAUAUAGGAAGGAACACCAGUGGCGAAGCGACACCUGGACUGAUACUGACACUGAGUGCGAAAGCGUGGGAGCAAACAGGAUUAGAUACGUGGUAGUCAC
rnacentral:rRNA from 1 species